rnacentral:rRNA from 1 species
UACGUAGGGUGCAAGCGUUUAAUCGGAAUUACUGGGCGUAAAGCGUGCGCAGGCGGUUGUGCAAGACAGAUGUGAAAUCCCCGGGCUCAACCUGGGAAUUGCAUUUGUGACUGCACGGCUAGAGUGUGUCAGAGGGGGGUAGAAUUCCACGUGUAGCAGUGAAAUGCGUAGAGAUGUGGAGGAAUACCGAUGGCGAAGGCAGCCCCC